rnacentral:rRNA from 1 species
CGGGGGGGGUAAGCGUUGUUCGGAACUACUGGGCGUAAAGGGCUCGUAGGCGGCCAACUAAGUCAUACGUGAAAUCCCUCAGCUUAACUGGGGAACUGCGUGUGAUACUGGAUGGCUUGGAUUUGGGAGAGGGAUGCGGAAUUCCAGGUGUAGCGGUGAAAUGCGUAGAUAUCUGGAGGAACACCGGUGGCGAAGGCGGCAUCCUGGACCAAUAUUGACGCUGAGGAGCGAAAGCCAGGGGAGCAAACGGGAUUAGAUACCCCGGUAGUCCUGGCCCUAAACGAUGAAUGCUUGGUGUAGCGGGUAUCGAUCCCUGCUGUGCCGAAGCUAACGCAUUAAGCAUUCCGCCUGGGGAGUACGGUCGCAAGGCUG